rnacentral:rRNA from 1 species
UACGUAGGGUGCAAGCGUUAAUCGGAAUUACUGGGCGUAAAGCGUGCGCAGGCGGCUUUGCAAGACAGAUGUGAAAUCCCCGGGCUCAACCUGGGAACUGCAUUUGUGACUGCAAGGCUAGAGUACGGCAGAGGGGGAUGGAAUUCCGCGUGUAGCAGUGAAAUGCGUAGAUAUGCGGAGGAACACCGAUGGCGAAGGCAAUCCCCUGGGCCUGUACUGACGCCCAUGCACGAAAGCGUGGGGAGCAAACAGG